UAAAAUAUCCAUGUCAUAACAGAGUAUAGGUGUAGCCAUUGCCGUCGCUAUUUCAGUGUAUUUUCAGUUCAUGAAAGUUAAUGGUUACAUUUUGGUCACCUAAAAAGUCUUGUUCAGCAUUUGGUUGUUCUAAAAGAACCUCUAAGGAGUCAAAUGGCUUUUUUUCUGUCGGUUAUAACGGUGGCUUCUGAAUGGGUCCGGUGAGGAUACAGCAGCCUAAUGCUGUGCAGAGACAGGAACUAUCAAGCAGCAUGAGCACAAUUUAACAUUUUCCUCAAAUCCGGGGAGGAGAAAAUGGCAAGGCAGAUGGCUGCCCACCUAGAGCCCAGUUCUGCUUCAGG